GUGUAGCAGGUGGGCAAGAAGUAAUAGGUUGGUGCCUACUCCUUCCCCCUCUCCAGUUGUAGUUAGUUUCUCUCUUCCUGUCACACAGCACUACGUCAUUAAUUGGGGAAUGGGAUACUAUUCAUUAGGCCACCUGACGUAUUACCCACAGGCUUAUUUAUAGACACCUGGGGUCCUAAAGCCGGUAGCUUGUCAACACCACUGGUUCUGGGGCUGUGUAGCAGAGUCACGGGUGCUGCGUGAAAGCAACAGGAGGGCGAGCCGCUGUAUGUUGAUGUGCAUGUGGGAGAAUGACACCGUGUUGUUGUGCGUAACAAGUGUCUGCUGGGCACCGUACCGUACCGUAGCAGUGAGGGGAGUUGUUCUCCGGAAGCAAUCAGCUACAGUAUUCGUAGCCUUGUUGAAAAGGUAUGUUAUACCUGAUCCGUGUACUGUGUUGCGUACCAGCAGGCCAUAGCGGCCAUUCAUUUUGUACUGAUGGUUGAUGACACUUUAAUGUAGGCUGGCUAACACUUUGCCAUGUAUUGAUGUUUUUAAUUAGUGUUCUGCCAUCGCCGUUUCCAUGUGUGCUACUUUUAAGGCUGUGGGAUUAGCAAAGUUGUUUAGUGUUGUGAUUGCUAUUUUGCACAAUGGUAAAGUACCAGCAACCAUCUUGCCAGUGUUUUUGUUUUAUAUGUUUGCAGUGAUAGACCCUCGCAGCUACACAGGGAUGCUAGUUGCUGUUCUCUUUUUAUGUGUGAUUGAUGCAUUGGUGCCGCUUAUAGUUUGUUUACUUUAUUGUGUUUUUUUUUGUUCCUCUAGCCUAUCGGCCUAUGUAGCCUGUGUAGGUACCACCUAUUUAAUGUGAGCCGCAGGCUAGAGUGGAUUUAUUUUGUUUUUCUUUUUUACUGUACUUCCAGUUCGUGUCUCCCUCCCCCUCCACAGCUAAUAGCCUCGGUAUUGAUAAGGCCCAUUAGUACCUGACCUUGGAUAGCCGGUCUCUGUAGUUUUUCUCACUAGUAGCCUACAGAGAUUGCAGUGUGCAUGUAGUUUGAACUCUUAAUUGCCGUGUCGCAUAUCACAGAGUGUCUUGGAUAUUGUAGUGCAUUUUCCCUGAAUAUAAACACGUGUUAUUUAGUGUGCACAAGACCACGUGUGUUAGAGACCUGGCCUGACAUCAGUUCUCCUAGUGGCCCAUUACCGAGGUUCCCCAGUCCCCCUAUUGUGUCUAUGUAUUUUUUUUAUUAUAUCUGGUGACCAACCAACGCUACUCGUGUCUACUAUUUAUUAAUAAAGACUAUUUUUAUACUUUCACCAAAAA